UACGGAGGGUGCAAGCGUUAUCCGGAAUCACUGGGUUUAAAGGGUGCGUAGGCGGUGGAAUAAGUCAGUCGUGAAAUCUCUUGGCUUAACCAAUGAAAUUGCGAUUGAUACUGUUUUACUUGAAAGAGGUUGAGGUCAGCGGAAUGUGGCAUGUAGCGGUGAAAUGCAUAGAUAUGCCAUAGAACACCGAUUGCGAAGGCAGCUGGCUGGGCCUACUUUGACGCUGAGGCACGAAAGCGUGGGGAGCAAACAGG
rnacentral:rRNA from 1 species